rnacentral:rRNA from 1 species
CCUACGGGAGGCAGCAGUGAGGAAUAUUGGUCAAUGGGCGGGAGCCUGAACCAGCCAAGUCGCGUGAGGGACGACGGUCCUAUGGAUUGUAAACCUCUUUUGUCGGGGAACAAAGGCGCCCACGGGUGGGCGGAUGAGUGUACCCGAAGAACAAGCAUCGGCUAACUCCGUGCAAGCAGCCGCGGUACUACGGAGGAUGCGGUCGUUAUCCGGAUUUAUUGGGGUUAAAGGGGGCGUAGGCGGACAGUCAAGUCAGCGGUAAAAAUGCGGUGCUCAACGCCGUACAGCCGUUGAAACUGGCAGUCUUGAGUGGGCGAGAGGUAUGCGGAAGGCGUGGGGGAGCGGUGAAAUGCAUAGAGAUCACGCAGAACUCCGAUUGCGAAGGCAGCAGACCGGCGCCCGACUGACGCUGAGGCACGAAAGCGUGGGUAUCGAACAGGAUUAGAUACCCCGGUAGUC